UGCUAGGGUUCGAUCUCCUCGUUCUGAUUCGCUGCCUCUCUCUCUCCCUCCCGCGCCCCCCUCCCUGGAUCCCUGCCCCGCCGCCGCCGUCGCCGCUCGCCCGCGCACCCGUCGCGCCUGCUCGUGGUGCAGCCACGCCUCCGCCGUGGCGCUUGCCUCCCGUGCACACGGCAGGUGCUCCGCCUCUUCCUCCCAUCCGGCCAGAUCUGCGGCGCACGGUCUCUCGCUCUAGCUCGCAACCCUCAGCCGUGGCUUGGGUUUCGGGCUGGGCAUCGCCUUCGUCGACGGCGCGGCUCCGUUGGACUCCGGCGGCUCCUCUCCGUCUCCUUCCUCGCCCCCACACGCGGCUCCACUUCCCGCUGGCCAUGGGGCUGGCCGGCAGCAGCGCCUCCCUCCCUCCCUCCCUGCCGCGGCCGGUCCCGCCGCACGGAGCAGCGCCGCUGACGGGUCCAUAGGCAGGUUGCAGGAAUAGCUUUAUAUUAGGAGCAGCUUCUCCACCACCACUCAGCGGUAGAGGAGGUGUGGUUCUUCCCCAACACAACAUAGCGGCAGCCACGGUAUCCUCGGCCCUCUCCCUCUAUCUACCCUCUUCUGUUCCUUACCGAAAAAUCAUUUUUUACCUUGUAUAAUACUUGUGAUUUGGACCGAUUUGUGUUUUGGGGGGCAUCAAUUUGGUGCUUCCCCUGUCCAUGUGCUGCAGAGAAAAGGAGAAGAAGGGGAUGGAUGAGCAAGGACCAGAAGGACCUAAAGAAGAAGGGCAAGGGAGGUGGGGCGAUAUGCAUGUCCAGGGAGAAACUAAUUCAUAUGGAGAGCCUUUUUGCUCGGUCAAAUCUGAGUUAUGGUGGUAGCUGUAGCUGAAAGGUCUCCGCCGGACGCCCCCCCCCCCGUGUGCGUCCAGGUCGUUGUUGCUUCUGGUGUUCUGCGUUCAAAGGGAUCAAGAUGGUGCCUUUCUUUGGGUCUGCAUUUCGUCCACUACUUCUCCCACCCAGCAGGGUAUGGUGGACGACCAGUUCCGGCAGCUGCAGUCGCUGCAGGAGGAUGGCGGCAGCGCGUCGGGCUUCAUCGCCGAGGUCGCCACCCUCUUCAUCGACGACGCCGACCGGAUCAUCAACGACAUCGGCAGCCUGCUGGACGCCGGCGGAACCUAGCCACCACUCCCCGCCGCGCCCCUCGUUGGUUACUUGCCGUGCUCGAUUUUUCCUUCCACGGACGAUUCUGUCAUUCGCCUCUACUGCCGGUGGUCGUGCCAGUCAUGCUCCUACUGGUUCUUUGUGAUCUGAAAGCAACUGACUACUCAAUACCAAUCAGUGCAUGGAGGGAACUCCUAUCCACCACGCCGGCGACAGGAACAUGGAAAACGCAGUCCACGGUGCCACCAAUGAACAAGAGAUGGUCAGCCCAAAGUCUAUGGUUAAUGCCAUUCUUGGUAACAUUGGUCUGCCUGAUGCAAAUCAAACAAGGACUACAAGAACUACAGUGGACGUGUGGGUGCAAUCAUCUUUUUCUGGCCGUUCCUGGCGCAUUGUUGAAUUAGUCAUCUUGCCUCUCUUGCACUUAACAUUGUCUAAUUAGACUUUUCAAAAUGAUUAUCCAGGACUGCUUGGCCUCUCGUUUCGAUUAGCCUAUCAUUAAAGUUGGAAACACCAGAAUUGACGCUUGCGUAUGAGUGUGUACAGGCCGAGACAAGCAUUGUAAGGAUCCCAGUUAGAAUGAUGCUUGAUCUCCUGUUAGAGCAUCUUGGGCUUCACAAGGCCAUCUGAGACUCAGGCUCAAUGAGAACACAAUGAGUGUCAUCGUUCUCUCUGACACCGCUAUUCAAGACGACCGGACCUGUCCACCGCGCAUGCCCAUUACUGGUGUUCAGUCCUCCAACGACAAUAUCUACCGUGUAUGAACAUUGCAUCCUCUAAUUUACCCUGUAUAUGAACAUUCCAUUCUUCAAAUGUGUUGUACUAUCGUUCUGAUGGCUAUGGAGAUGUGUUGUACUGUAGUUUUGGUAUCCAUUGAUGAUGUCUUGCUCCGAUUACACUUGAAUGUUUCUUUUUUUAUCCUGAUUGAAUAUAUAUGAUAAGCCUGGCUUUCUACUAA